rnacentral:lncRNA from 1 species
GUAACCCAUAAUGGUUGUUAUUGUUUCCCUCUGGAAUGUGUGGGCGGUACUCUCGUGCCCGUGCAGCCCUCGCUCCCAUGCAGCUGGAGAGUAUAAAAGGAAGAGGUUCUGUAGUAAAGCAAGCUAGGAACUUGAGAAGAAAGGUGCUCUCUGUCCUCGUCCUUUCAGGUUUAGGACCUGCUGGCAGGAUCCUGACGUCGCGGCUCGCGACAACCCACACUCAAUUUUCUGUUCUAGCCCAGCAGAUUGAGCGACUGACCCGUGCUGGUGACCCCCUGACACAUCCUUAGCUAUCUUGGAUGAAACAUGAGUUGAUUCAGCAGAGAACAGGGAGGUGAGUGGGA